CGUGUCGCGCAUAUCUGCAUAUCAAUAAGCGGAGGAAAAGAAACUAACAAGGAUUCCCUUAGUAACGGCGAGUGAAGCGGGAAGAGCUCAAAUUUGAAAUCUUCAAGGUUCUACCUUGACGAAUUGUAGUUUAAAGAAGUGUUUUCUGUUAGAUGAGUAGCAAAAGUUCCUUGGAAUGGGACAUCAUAGAGGGUGAGAAUCCCGUAUUUGGUUAUUCAUUCUAGGCUUUGUGAUACACUUUCAAAGAGUCGGAUUGUUUGGGAAUGCAGUCCAAAAUGGGUGGUAAAUUUCAUCUAAAGCUAAAUAUUGGCGAGAGACCGAUAGCGAACAAGUACCGUGAGGGAAAGAUGAAAAGAACUUUGAAAAGAGAGUUAAACAGUACGUGAAAUUGUCAAAAGGGAAGCGUUUGACACCAGUGUUGUUUUUCCGAAAAUCAAUUACGAAUGGCUUGAUUUUGUGUUGUAUUGACCUUAUCAGCUUUCUGCACUUUUUUCGAGUCUUUCUUAAUGCACUUUUCGGUUAACAAGUCAACAUCAAUUUCUUUUGUUGUAAAAGAGUAUUCGGAAGGUGGCUUUCUUUUCGGAGAAAGUGUUUAUAGCCCUAUACUUCUACAAUCGGAGAGAUUGAGGUCUGCAGCGUAGAUCCUUCGGGGUUAGAUACACUUGUGCUAAGUUGUAGCUUUUCAUAGACAACUUGUUGACUAUGUUUAGUCAUGCGGCUUACUCGCUUAUGCUAUUUUACCUACGCUUAGGAUGUUGACGAUCAGCUGAGCGCA
rnacentral:rRNA from 1 species